AGACGUCUACAUUAGAUACCCGGGUAGUCCUAGCCGUAAACGAUACUCGCUAGGUGUCGGCCACGGUGCGACCGUUGUCGGUGCCGUAGGGAAGCCGUGAAGCGAGCCACCUGGGAAGUACGGCCGCAAGGCUGAAACUUAAAGGAAUUGGCGGGGGAGCACCGCAACGGGAAGAGCGUGCGGUUCAAUUGGAUUCAACGCCGGACAACUCACCAGGAGCGACGGUUACAUGAAGGCCAGGCUGAUGACCUUGCCUGAUUUUCCG
rnacentral:rRNA from 1 species